rnacentral:lncRNA from 1 species
ACCUCCCAAAUAUUGUUGUCUUUGAUAAAUUAGACGGAUAAAAUAUCAUCAUAUGCCAAACAGAUUAAAUUUGCAGUUUCACCAAAAUAAUAACCAUGCAGGAAAUAAGUAAAAAAUAUCCAACCACGAGAUACCAAGAUUUUACAUGGAAAACCCUCUAAAACUAAGAUGUAAAAACCACGGGAUAAACUCCGAAUAAUUCACUAGAAUAAUAUGAGAGAAUACAAAGAUAUCUUAAUUUGAGUACAAACUCAAAUUACUUCACCACAAUAACUAUGUGAUGGAACCCAAAUAAAACACCCUUUUAUUUGAACUAUCUUUCUCUCUCUAUUUUUCUAACUCUCUUCUACCCUCUCCCCCGGAUGGGAUUACUUUCAUCCAUCCUUCCCGGAUGGGAUUUCUCUCACCCACCCUUUUCUUUUUCUCUCUACUCUCUUUUUCGGAUGUUUUGCUUCUCCGAAUUGAU